GACGAACGCUGGCGGCGCGCCUAACACAUGCAAGUCGAACGAGCGAGAGAGAGCUUGCUUUCUCGAGCGAGUGGCGAACGGGUGAGUAACGCGUGAGGAACCUGCCUCAAAGAGGGGGACAACAGUUGGAAACGACUGCUAAUACCGCAUAAGCCCACGACCCGGCAUCGGGUAGAGGGAAAAGGAGCAAUCCGCUUUGAGAUGGCCUCGCGUCCGAUUAGCUAGUUGGUGAGGUAACGGCCCACCAAGGCGACGAUCGGUAGCCGGACUGAGAGGUUGAACGGCCACAUUGGGACUGAGACACGGCCCAGACUCCUACGGGAGGCAGCAGUGGGGAAUAUUGCACAAUGGGGGAAACCCUGAUGCAGCGACGCCGCGUGGAGGAAGAAGGUCUUCGGAUUGUAAACUCCUGUUGUUGAGGAAGAUAAUGGCGGUACUCAACAAGGAAGUGACGGCUAACUACGUG
rnacentral:rRNA from 1 species